rnacentral:rRNA from 1 species
AAGUCGUAACAAGGUUUCCGUAGGUGAACCUGCGGAAGGAUCAUUAUCGAAAUUAUUGGUGAGGGUUGUAGCUGGCCUUUCGAGGCAUGUGCACGCUCGAGCCCUUAAUCCACUUUACACCUGUGCACUUAAUGUAGGUCGCCCUUAAAAAAGGUGACCUAUGUCUUAUCAUCAACCCAUCGUAUGUCUCAUAGAAUGUAAUCGAUAUCCUCGCCCUAAAAAGCGUUGAUAAACUUAUACAACUUUCAACAACGGAUCUCUUGGCUCUCGCAUCGAUGAAGAACGCAGCGAAAUGCGAUAAGUAAUGUGAAUUGCAGAUUUUCAGUGAAUCAUCGAAUCUUUGAACGCACCUUGCGCUCCUUGGUAUUCCGAGGAGCAUGCCUGUUUGAGUGUCAUUAAAUUCUCAACUCCAAGGGUUUCACGACCUUUCGGAGAUUGGACUUGGAGGUGCUGGCCGCAUAUUGGUCGGCUCCUCUCAAAUGCAUCAGCGGAAUUCAACCUUUGGCUUCCGGAUGUCAGUGUGAUAAUCAUGUUGCGCUGUCGUUUGAUCCCUCAGAGUCCGCUUAUAAUGGUCUUCGGACAAAAUCAUCAUCAAAUUUGACCUCAAAUCAGGUAGGACUACCCGCUGAACUUAA